rnacentral:rRNA from 1 species
AAACCAAUUUAAUUUGGCGGCAUUUCAUCUACUUAGAGGAAUUUGUCCUUUAAUCGAUAAUCCACGUUAAAUUUUACUUUAAUCUAAAAUUUAUAUACCUCCAUCUCAAGAUUUAAUCAAUUAAUAUUUCUCCAAAUAAACCAUAACAAGUUAGGUCAAGGUGUGUUCCAUAUUAAAGAUUAAGAUGAAUUACACUAAAUAUAAUUUUACGAUUAUAAAUUAAUACAUUUAUAUAAAUAAGAAUUUAAAAGUAAUAUUUAAACAAUAAUUCAAUAUGAUAAAGAUAAUAAAUGUGCACACAUCGCCC